CGAGCUGGGUUCAGAACGUCGUGAGACAGUUCGGUCCUCUAUCCGCUGUGGGCGUAGGAAAAUUGAGGGGUUCAUUCUUCAGUACGAGAGGACCGAGAAUGACGGACCGCUGGUGUUCCGGUUAUCGUGUCAACGGUAUCGCCGGGUAGCUAAGUCCGGAAUGGAUAAGCGCUGAAAGCAUCUAAGCGCCAAGCCAAUCCCAAGAUAAAUUUUCCCUUGAGAGUCGUGGAAGACUACCACGUUGAUAGGCUGGAUGUGUAAGUACGGUAACGUAUUGAGCUAACCAGUACUAAUUACUCGAUAGAUUUAGUCGU
rnacentral:rRNA from 1 species